rnacentral:tRNA from 1 species
GCUGAGGUACCCAAGCUAGGUAAGUCGUCCUAGACCCUGAACGGGGUCAGCCUCGAGAUAGCUGAUGUCCUUCGGGACUCGUGGGUUCGAGUCCCACCCUCAGCG